GUGGAGCAAUCCAUGAGUAAAGUGGCGACCGGGUGAGUAACACGUGACCAAUCUACCCUUGAGUGGGGGAUAACCUCGGGAAACCGGGGCUAAUACCGCAUAAAAUCCUUGGAACGGAAGUACUGGGAAUCAAAGGAGCAAUUCGCUUAAGGAGGAGGUCGCGGCUGAUUAGCUAGUUGGCGGGGUAAUGGCCCACCAAGGCGAAGAUCGGUAGCCGGCCUGAGAGGGCGCACGGCCACACUGGAACUGAAACACGGUCCAGACUCCUACGGGAGGCAGCAGUGGGGAAUUUUGCGCAAUGGGGGAAACCCUGACGCAGCAACGCCGCGUGGAGGAUGAAGUCCCUUGGGACGUAAACUCCUUUCGACCCGGACGAUAAUGACGGUACGGGUGGAAGAAGCCCCGGCUAACUUCGUGCCAGCAGCCGCGGUAAUACGAGGGGGGCAAGCGUUGUUCGGAAUUAUUGGGCGUAAAGGGCGCGUAGGCGGUUUGACAAGUCUGAUGUGAAAUCUCUGGGCUCAACCCAGAGUCUGCAUUAGAAACUGUCGGGCUUGAGUAUGGGAGAGGUGAGUGGAAUUUCCGGUGUAGCGGUGAAAUGCGUAGAUAUCGGAAGGAACACCUGUGGCGAAAGCGGCUCACUGGACCAUUACUGACGCUGAGGCACGAAAGCUAGGGGAGCAAACAGGAUUAGAUACCCUGGUAGUCCUAG
rnacentral:rRNA from 1 species